AAAUUGAAGAGUUUGAUCAUGGCUCAGAUUGAACGCUGGCGGCAGGCCUAACACAUGCAAGUCGAACGGUAACAGAAAUCAGCUUGCUGAUUUGCUGACGAGUGGCGGACGGGUGAGUAAUGUCUGGGAAACUGCCUGAUGGAGGGGGAUAACUACUGGAAACGGUAGCUAAUACCGCAUAACGUCGCAAGACCAAAGAGGGGGACCUUCGGGCCUCUUGCCAUCGGAUGUGCCCAGAUGGGAUUAGCUAGUAGGUGGGGUAACGGCUCACCUAGGCGACGAUCCCUAGCUGGUCUGAGAGGAUGACCAGCCACACUGGAACUGAGACACGGUCCAGACUCCUACGGGAGGCAGCAGUGGGGAAUAUUGCACAAUGGGCGCAAGCCUGAUGCAGCCAUGCCGCGUGUAUGAAGAAGGCCUUCGGGUUGUAAAGUACUUUCAGCGGGGAGGAAGGGAGUAAAGUUAAUACCUUUGCUCAUUGACGUUACCCGCAGAAGAAGCACCGGCUAACUCCGUGCCAGCAGCCGCGGUAAUACGGAGGGUGCAAGCGUUAAUCGGAAUUACUGGGCGUAAAGCGCACGCAGGCGGUUUGUUAAGUCAGAUGUGAAAUCCCCGGGCUCAACCUGGGAACUGCAUCUGAUACUGGCAAGCUUGAGUCUCGUAGAGGGGGGUAGAAUUCCAGGUGUAGCGGUGAAAUGCGUAGAGAUCUGGAGGAAUACCGGUGGCGAAGGCGGCCCCCUGGACGAAGACUGACGCUCAGGUGCGAAAGCGUGGGGAGCAAACAGGAUUAGAUACCCUGGUAGUCCACGCCGUAAACGAUGUCGACUUGGAGGUUGUGCCCUUGAGGCGUGGCUUCCGGAGCUAACGCGUUAAGUCGACCGCCUGGGGAGUACGGCCGCAAGGUUAAAACUCAAAUGAAUUGACGGGGGCCCGCACAAGCGGUGGAGCAUGUGGUUUAAUUCGAUGCAACGCGAAGAACCUUACCUGGUCUUGACAUCCACGGAAGUUUUCAGAGAUGAGAAUGUGCCUUCGGGAACCGUGAGACAGGUGCUGCAUGGCUGUCGUCAGCUCGUGUUGUGAAAUGUUGGGUUAAGUCCCGCAACGAGCGCAACCCUUAUCCUUUGUUGCCAGCGGUCCGGCCGGGAACUCAAAGGAGACUGCCAGUGAUAAACUGGAGGAAGGUGGGG
rnacentral:rRNA from 1 species